rnacentral:rRNA from 5 species
GUUGUAUAGUCAAGUAAUGAAGUGCACAUGGUGGAUGCCUUGGCAGUCAGAGGCGAUGAAAGACGUGACAGCCUGCGAAAAGCGUCGGGGAGGCGGCAAUAUCCUGUGAUCCGGCGAUAUCUGAAUGGGGAAACCCACCUACCAUAAGGUAGGUACCCCGCUAUAUUUUAUAGCGGGGGGCAAACCGGGAGAAGUGAAACAUCUCAGUAACCCGAGGAAAAGACAUCAAUAGAGAUUCCCCUAGUAGCGGCGAGCGAACGGGGAGGAGCCGACUGAUUAUAAUUUAGAGGAAUGACUUGGAAAGGUCAAUCGUAGAGGGUGAUAAUCCCGUACUCGAAAGGUUAUAAGAAGCAUAUUAAGUAGGGCGGAACACGAGAAAUUCUGUCUGAA